CUUGUUUACACAUUCUGAACAGCUGCAUGUUGUCUUGGGGAUAUUUUCAACGAGUCUUUCUAUACAACCUCCGCACACCAAGUGACGUGGAUUUUGUUUUAUUUUAUUUUAAUGAAACGUUAAAAAUUUAAAUCAACAAUCAUGGCAUUUCCCCGCAUCCCUACGUUCCCCCCUCGUUUCCCCUCCCUUGCGUGCCCCCUCCCCUCGAGGUCACCCCUCCAUGGUUCCACCCAGCGUGGGAUUUUCUCCCACCCAGCUCGGAUCCCUUCUGUAAGGCGCAUGAGCCAAAGCUCUCCAUAAAUCCAUCUCUCUCCACAAAUCCUCACACAACACGCGUUCUCUUCUCACCACACUGACAAAUCUCUUCCGCACGGCUUCGUCAACAAUAAUUCCUCUUCUCACCACUCGUCUUGGGCUGCCGACUUUGGUUCUGGUUUGAGGUGGGUUUUGAUUGCUAGUGUUUUUUGGUGGUGAUUGAUGUUAUUGUGGUUGGGGGAUUGUGCUAUAAAAGCUUGGAGUGGUGGUGAUUGGUGGAAUGGGAUGCCUUUGAAAUAUUGGAUUGCAGAUGGUGUUUUGUUGUGGAAAAAUGGAAGGAAAUGAAGAAGAAAGAAGGAGAAGCUAAGGGGACAGGAUGUUGGGUUAAGUUUAGGUUCAUUGGAAGCUGCAUCUCCUCAAGUUCCAAUGUGGAUAACUCUCUAAGUGGUACUAGCACGCAAUAUGAUAUAAACCACAUAAUAGGAGUGUAGAGGAUUGAUGUUUUUAGCAUACAAGAACGAAGAUUGGGCGUGUAUUUUGUAUUGUUUGUGAAAUUAGCUGACUUGGUGUUGCUUGUCUAUGCGCAUGACUUGUGUUUAUUUUUUAAUGUAAUUUCAGUAUUGGAUUUGUACAUGUGAUUAACCAGAUAUUAGAAUGGAAGUGUAAUAUUUUCUUCAAGUGUAAUAUUUUCAAGAAGUGUAAUAUGAUAUGUAGAGGGGGUAAUAUCUUUUUGAAGUGUAAAGGGGGCAAAACCCGUUUGUUGUUUCCAAUUAUAUAUUAAGAGUUUAUUAAUAUUAUUGGGAGCAAAUGGCUAGCUUCUAAUAAUUCAAUUUGUUCUUUAUUGGCGUUUCAAAAAGAGUACCCUCUACCGAUCCAAACAAAAAAUAGAAGUGAUCUUAGAUGCUCUUAUCUCAGACACCUUUACUAACUUGGCAAAUCAAUCUCUGCCCAAGGUAAAAAAGCAAUCACAUGCACCUAUAUAUAUGCAUAUAAACUAGUGCAGUUCAUUCCAAGUCCAAACCUAUAUAUAUUCAUAGUAAUGCAAGUUAAGAAACAGGGUCACUUUUAUCAUAGUAAGUUGUCAUGAUUAUAUUUAUAGACAAUAUAGCAUACAAUUAUGGUUCGAACAAUCUACACACGAUUUAAAACUAACAUGUUACAACUAUAGUCCGAACCAAUAAAAAACUAUUACAAUAGAUAUGAUCCAUUACAGACAUAGCAAUAUAUGUGCACCCCUAUUCUUUACAAUCCGCUUUCGAAGUUUGUCCUCUUGCUUCUGAAGCUCAUUUUCUCUCUUGAUUAGUUUAUCUUUUUUUGAUCUUCAUAUUCAUGUAACAAUAAAUCAUCAUCUCUCUUUCGAAUUGCAUUCUCCAUUGUCAGAAUCUUUUUCUCUACCAAUUGAAGUAUAUCGGCCUAGAUGAAGGAUUAAAUCGGAUGUAUUAAAUCGGAUGAAGAAUUGAAGUAUAUCGGCCUAGAUGACUACUUCGUACAUGGAUUCAAAAGCAAUAAAGAAAGUGGGUAAUUACCGUAGAUACCACAAUCACAAAAUCUACCACACCCAAUAUACCACAAUCACAAACCAACAAAUCGGUUAUUACUAGAAAUCACAAAUCAACAAAUCAGUUCUACCAUAGUGGAAACCUGUCAAGCAUCAUUGAACAUAACUAGAAGAGAGGAGGAAAAAAAGAAAGAAUGAAUAUUAAAAAUCAACAAAGUUUUACUUAUCAUAUUUAAUUUUCCCAUAUCAAUCAGCUGGGACUUGAACAAUAUCACAACUCCCCAAAAAAACCAAAAACAGAGGAAUUUAAUAAAAGAAUUUCAAAACCUCAUCAUCAUAUUUUGAAAUGAUAGAAAGAAAUAAUCCUAGAAAUUAUAUAAAUACUAAUGAAAACACCAUAACCAGAAGAAACAAAACACAACUGUAAUCAUAAUCAUCCUCUUGUUAGCAAUCCAAUAGGGAAGUCAUAUUAUAUUUUUUUCCAAUUUUUUCACAUAAGUAUCACUUCAUUUAGAAAAUGUAUAUAAUAAAGCCAGAAGUAUGUCAUUCACAUUUUACAUCCCAAUCUUCGAAAUAUUAGAAAAAUGAUUCUCCAACUGGCUGGGCUGCCGAUAUGUUGUCUUGUAGCUCAAUGAAGCAGUAUAUCAGAGGUGGCUUUGGACUAUCAUAAAGAUUCGUUUCUUAGAUUUCAGAUCUCCAUGACAAGUAUCAAAAUGGUUGGCAUGACUUUAUAUAGUGAAUUAGUAAACUAGACAACAAUUAUCAUAAUAAAUUUAAUGAAGCAAAAGAUGUAAGCCAUUCCAUUGGAUGCCGCAAUGGCUCAUGAUACCUAAGAUAUAUAUGGAAGGCCAAUAAGAAAUUAUUGCUGAUUAAUUUUUGGGAUCCAUUAAUAAUGGAGUAACGUAAAUUGAGUCAUUUGGGUUUGAAAAAAAUAAUCUGAUGAGAGCAAAUUCUAUAAUAUUAUGUCCAUAGAAUCCAAAUCCAGCCCUUGCAAGGAUCAUGCAGCGGUAUCCAACAAUAUAAAGAACGAAAUAAGUAUCAAACAAAUGGAAGAGAACCACCCUUUGACGAGAUGUCGACCAAAAGGUAACAAGUUAAACAUAAAGGUUGCAAAUUUAUCCUUUUGUUUAUAACUAGAGACUCAAGCCAAUAUAUCAGCACCAAAAAAUUAGCAUUUCCUGCAUCAAUCAACAAGGAACCUGAAAACAUCCACAACAAAACACCUCCCCCCUUCUUCACAGACCAAACUUACUAAUAGGAGUGCAAUGAAAAGAAUAUAAACGAACCCAGCUAUUAAUUUAUGAUUUGCUGAUAAAAACUAUUAGAAAACCGGCUUAUGCUCAUAUGAACUUCUAACAAGCAGCAGACUACAAGUAUGCAACAACACGAUGACCACGAUAAAGUGGAAUCCAUUUAAAUAACCACGAGAGAAGUAAUAAGCAAAAAAGUAGUAAUAAAUUAAACACAAGAAAGAAAAAAAGAAAAAAA